rnacentral:rRNA from 1 species
AAUUUUGGACAAUGGGGGAAACCCUGAUCCAGCCAUCCCGCGUGUAUGAUGAAGGCCUUCGGGUUGUAAAGUACUUUUGGCAGAGAAGAAAAGGUACGUCCUAAUACGAGGUACUGCUGACGGUAUCUGCAGAAUAAGCACCGGCUAACUACGUGCCAGCAGCCGCGGUAAUACGAAGGGUGCAAGCGUUAUUCGGAAUGUCCGGGCGUAAAGCGUGUGUAGGCGGUUCGGAAAGAAAGAUGUGGAAUCCCAGGGCUCAACCUUGGAACUGCAUUUUUAACUGCCGAGCUAGGGUAUGUCAGAGGGGGGUAGAAUUCCACGUGUAGCAGUGAAAUGCGUAGAUAUGUGGAGGAAUACCGAUGGCGAAGGCAGCCCCCUGGGAUAAUACUGACGCUCAGACACGAAAGCGUGGGGAGCAAACA